CCUGAAGGUUAUCUUGUUCAAAAGAUUAGGGUACUAAAACACACUGUAAGAAAGAUUAAGGAUCACAUACCUACCAAGUGAGAAAAUGAGAUUUAAACCCCAACAGUCUGGCUUCAAAGUCGAAGCUCUUAAUUUCUAUUUGUGCCUCAGUUCUCCCAGAGUUUACAUUCAAACAUGACCCUCUUUUCCCAAAAGAAAUUUUUAGCAUAAUGUUUAACAUAAUUGUUUGUAGUGGAUGUCAUCUUUUAGAACAUCAUUGUCAUGAUCAAAGCUCAUGAUUUCAGUUACAGGAACUUGGGCCAGACCUGCACCAUGGGGAAAAUGUUAGCUCUAUUCUGCAAAGGCUCCUGAGUGCAUGGCUGCCUGUUCCUAUUGUCUUAACACCAGCAUGGACCAUGGGUUUCAGUAGCUUCAUUACCCUGGCUUUCUAAUCAUUCCUGGAACUAAUUUCAGAAGGAAUCUCUCUAGUCAGGUACACAUGGACUUUAUACAUGGACAGUGAAUUUUCAUCUCUACACAGUCUAGAAUAUGGAAUUUUAGUCAUUAUCAUGAAAGUUUUGUCUUUAAAAUGCCAUGCUUCUAGUUUGUUUCUCAGUGAACCAGUGUUUUGGGUGACAACAUAAUGUGUUCAUGGAGGAAGAGAUCAUCUUGGGGAGGAGAUCAUCUUAAGUAUAUAUGUAUUUUUUAAUGUUUUGAGAAUUCAGCUUUGCAAAAGCAGCAUGUUGCUUAGACUUUUAUUAGGCUGUGCCCUAGCAAAGUGUCAACACUAGUUCAUGUGUCUGGAUGACAAUUCUGGAAUGCUGGCUUCCUCACUCUCCCUGGGUCACUGUUCAUUAUCACUGCAGUGAGACCUACCUUGCAUCUCACACUAGCACCCCCUGUUCUCCUCUUCUUCAUUUUCCUCCAAAGUGCUUAUGACAUGAUUGCAUUUUUUUUAAAUAUCAGCUUUAAUCCUCAUAAAUGUAGAUAGGUGUAGCAUAAUUUAUAUAUUUAGAUUCUACCCUUCUCCACCAGAUUGUAAGGCUUGUGGAGAGGAAUCAUCUGCUCCAUUGAUGGCUAUAUCCCCUGGGCCUGGAAUAGAACAGAGAAAAUAGCAUGCUCUCAGAAAAUACAUAUUAAAUUAGCAAAUGAAUGAAUGCUAACCACCACACCUCACUUUUGAGUUUCAGCCAAUAUAUUCUGUAAAAAUUGAUCUUGUUAGCACUUGAAAAUGUGUAGUACAUAAUGGCUAGGCAUUUGUAGCCUAGGUCAUGAUAUAUUUAGGCUGAAUUCUUCCAGGGUCUUUGGUAAUUAAAUAUAUAUGAGUUAUAAAUAUGUCAUAUAAUCAGUUCUCUGUAUCAGAGGACUUGUGCAUAUAAAACUUUAACAUCCUAUCUAAACUUAUUAGAUAUUUAUUCCCAUUUUUUAUCAUGACUAAAGAAGUCACUGUAGCCUCAACUGACUCAAGAAAUAAUUAUCAGAACUAAGAACUGAUUGAUAAAGGGGUCUCUUUUCUGUAAUUGUAAUGGGAAUAGACUAUGGCUAAUGGUUUAGAUGAGAAGCAUUCUUCUACACCGGGAAUGGGAAGAAGAUAUCUGCAUGUGUAACAUGACAUUUUAUUGUUUUAGCCUCCCAACUCUGAGCUGUACCCUUGGAUAUAUGUAAGGUCAACCCUAUGAUGCAUGUUAUUAUAGACCUCCCAUAUGUAGGUUUGAUGUGUUCUAAGUGUGUCAGGUGGCCCGGGCCAGUAUAUAGUUUUGCUGAAGCAAUGACACAUCACUGAGAUGAAAUUUUCAUGUUGUACAUGUCGACAUCUAAAUAUACCAUCUUACUGAAUAUACCUGAACUUUUGUAUCAGAAUCUUUUUGAAUAUGAAUAAUCUUAUUUAUGUACAUAGUGUCUAAGAAUAUCAUUUGUUACUUUUAUAGUUGGUCUAUUGUCUUAAUAUUUAAGCAUGAAUUUCCUAUUCAUGUGAACUAUAUGAGCUAGUGUCAACUCAUCUUAACUCUAGUAAAACAUUUUCAUUUGUAGAUCACAAAUAUAGUUAAAAAAUUUCUUUUGUCAUCUUGUAAUGAAUCAUCUUGUACAUUUCUGAAAGUAAACAUACUCCCAUUUUGGAGGCCAGGGAAAUGGAGCAUUGACUAGGAGGUCAUAAAAAUGAAUCUAUCUCCUUUGCUGGUUUGAUGGAAGUGUUAAAUGAGAUAAUAAAGUGAAGUAUCUAACAGAGGACUGGGAGCUAUAAGUGCUGACUUCUUUAAAUACCUGUUUUAUGGUUUCCCAGGAAGUUGACAGAUACUCCAUUUCUUUAGAGUGAUAAAGUUACGUCAAUCUCCCAAAUUAACUGUUUGACAAAUGUACUCAUUUA
rnacentral:lncRNA from 1 species